rnacentral:rRNA from 1 species
GAUUAACGCUGGCGGCGUGCCUAACACAUGCAAGUCGAGCGGCAGCGAGUUUUACACUGAAUUCUGGAAGCUUCUAGUUGAAAGAGAAGAUUUAUUCAAGAAUUUUGUGUAAAAUGUCGGCGAGCGGCGGACGGCUGAGUAGCGCGUGGGAACGUACCCCAAAGUGAGGGAUAACGCAUCGAAAGGUGUGCUAAUACCGCAUAUGGUCUUCGGAUUAAAGCCUUCGGGCGCUUUGGGAACGGCCUGCGUAAGAUUAGAUAGUUGGUGGGGUAAUGGCCUACCAAGUCGACGAUCUUUACCUGGUUUGAGAGGAUGAUCAGUCAGACUGGAACUGAGACACGGUCCAGACUCCUACGGGAGGCAGCAGUGAGGAAUCUUCCACAAUGGGCGAAAGCCUGAUGGAGCAACGCCGCGUGCAGGAUGAAGGCCUUCGGGUUGUAAACUGCUUUUAUAAGUGAGGAUUAUGACAGUAACUUAUGAAUAAGGAGCGGCUAACUACGUG